rnacentral:rRNA from 1 species
GAUGAACGCUAGCUACAGGCUUAACACAUGCCAGUCGAGGGGAAACGACAUCGAAAGCUUGCUUUUGAUGGGCGUCGACCGGCGCACGGGUGAGUAACGCGUAUCCAACCUGCCCAUCACUUGGGAAUAACCUUGCGAAAGUAAGACUAAUACCCAAUGACAUCCCACGAAGACAUCUGAAUGGGAUUAAAGAUUUAUCGGUGAUGGAUGGGGAUGCGUCUGAUUAGCUUGUUGGCGGGGUAACGGCCCACCAAGGCAACGAUCAGUAGGGGUUCUGAGAGGAAGGUCCCCCACAUUGGAACGGAGACACGGUCCAAACUCCUACGGGAGGCAGCAGUGAGGAAUAUUGGUCAAUGGGCGAGAGCCUGAACCAGCCAAGUAGCGUGCAGGAUGACGGCCCUAGGGGUUGUAAACUGCUUUUAUAAGGGAAUAAAGUGGGUCUCGGGAGACUUUUUGCAUGUACCUUAUGAAUAAGGACCGGCUAAUUCCGUG